rnacentral:tRNA from 1 species
GCUCGAGUGGUGCAACGGUUACCACGUCUGUCUAACACACAGAAGACUCCGCGUUCGAUUCGCGGCUUGAGUA